rnacentral:rRNA from 1 species
ACGCACGCUGGCGGCGUGCCUCAUCCCUGCCAGUCGAACGCACUCUCGUUAGAUUGAAGGAGUUUGCUCCUGAUUGAUAAACAUUUGAGUGAGUGGCGGACGGGUGAGUAACACGUGGGUAACCUGCCCUAAAGUGGGGGAUAACAUUUGGAAACAGAUGCUAAUACCGCAUAAAACCUAACACCGCAUGGUGUAGGGUUGAAAGAUGGUUUCGGCUAUCACUUUAGGAUGGACCCGCGGUGCAUUAGUUAGUUGGUGAGGUAAAGGCUCACCAAGACCGUGAUGCAUAGCCGACCUGAGAGGGUAAUCGGCCACACUGGGACUGAGACACGGCCCAGACUCCUACGGGAGGCAGCAGUAGGGAAUCUUCCACAAUGGACGAAAGUCUGAUGGAGCAACGCCGCGUGAGUGAAGAAGGUGUUCGGAUCGUAAAACUCUGUUGUUGGAGAAGAAUGUAUCUGAUAGUAACUGAUCAGGUAGUGACGGUAUCCAACCAGAAAGCCACGGCUAACUACGUG